AGCAUCCUCCGGCGGGGGCCCUGCCUGGCGCCGCGGCGAGCCGGGGCUGCCGCGGGGCGGGCGGGCGAGCGGCACCUCCAGCGCUCUGUGUCCGCGCAUCGCCCCGGCUUUUAUUUAACGCGGCCGAGCUCAGCUUGGCUCCUCCCCUUCUCGGAAAACAUGUGGCUACGUUCACUUUCGCUUUAGCAACGGCUUGGUGGCCCUGAGCCAGCCGUAGCUCUGGCUCCAGAGAAUGCCCCGCGGGCUCCCCGCCCCGCCGCUGGGGAUGCUCUUCAACCUCACUUCUUAUAUCCGACUACGUCUGGGUUUAUUCUUUUAUUGCUUUUUUUUUUUCCCCCACAGCCCCGGCGGAGCAGGCGGUGGCCGCGGGUAGGGUCGAGAGGUGCUGCGGGGCAAAUCCGAGCACGGGAGCGCUCUGAGGCUCCAGGGAGGCCAGGGGACACUAGAGCUGUUUGUUGUGAAUCCAUGCCUGGUGUCCCUCUGCAGAGCAGCACAAGGCCAGCUCUUCCUCCAGCUGUGAUUUUUGCUUUUUCUUUCUGA
rnacentral:lncRNA from 1 species